rnacentral:rRNA from 1 species
GACGAACGCUGGCGGCGUGCUUAACACAUGCAAGUCGAACGAUGAACCUCGAAAUGAUUUCUUCGGAAAGAUUUUUGAGAGGAUUAGUUGCGAACGGGUGAGUAACGCGUGAGCAACCUGCCUUAGACAAGGGGAUAGCCUCGGGAAACCGUGAUUAAUACCCUAUGAGACUCCACUUACGAGUGUAAGAGAAGUUAAAGCUAUUGCGGUCUAAGAUGGGCUCGCGUCUGAUUAGCUAGUUGGUGAGAUAAAAGCCCACCAAGGGGACGAUCAGUAACCGGCUUGAGAGAGUGACCGGUCACAUUGGAACUGAGACACGGUCCAAACUCCUACGGGAGGCAGCAGUGGGGAAUAUUGCACACUGGGGGCAACACUGAUGCAGCGACGCCGCGUGAGCGAUGAAGGAAUUCGUUUCGUAAAGCUCUGUCCUAGGAGAAGAUAAUGACGGUAACCAAGGAGGAAGCACCGGCUAAAUACGUG